GAUGAACGCUGGCGGCGUGCCUAAUACAUGCAAGUCGAGCGAACAGACGAGGAGCUUGCUCCUCUGACGUUAGCGGCGGACGGGUGAGUAACACGUGGAUAACCUACCUAUAAGACUGGGAUAACUUCGGGAAACCGGAGCUAAUACCGGAUAAUAUAUUGAACCGCAUGGUUCAAUAGUGAAAGACGGUUUUGCUGUCACUUAUAGAUGGAUCCGCGCUGCAUUAGCUAGUUGGUAAGGUAACGGCUUACCAAGGCAACGAUGCGUAGCCGACCUGAGAGGGUGAUCGGCCACACUGGAACUGAGACACGGUCCAGACUCCUACGGGAGGCAGCAGUAGGGAAUCUUCCGCAAUGGGCGAAAGCCUGACGGAGCAACGCCACGUGAGUGAUGAAGGUCUUCGGAUCGUAAAACUCUGUUAUUAGGGAAGAACAAAUGUGUAAGUAACUAUGCACGUCUUGACGGUACCUAAUCAGAAAGCCACGGCUAACUACGUG
rnacentral:rRNA from 1 species